AAAAACAAACAUACCACCACAUGGAUCAUACUGGUAAAAGGAAAAAUGCAAAAAAGAAAGAUUGGACCCAUCUCACAGAAGCUAGUUCGGCGCCUCCACCUCCGACAACGCACUAGUAAGCUUCAAAUUUCUUCUUCUUUGUUACUGCUCUCUUCUUAUCCUUCUCUUCUUUAAUUUCCUUAUGAAAUUGUACUGUGUGAGUUGUUGUUGGUUCAAACUCAUCUGUGUGCAUGUUGAGUGAUGAUGGAUUAUCUCAGGCCACUUAAAGCAUCUCAUUUGAAGCUCUAAGGGUCUCUAAUGGAGCUUUGUAGUGGAGGUUUUAGGGUGAUUUUGGCAGAGUGAUUUUAGAGUUAUUGUUGAUGAGUGAGAAUGAUGGUGUUUAAAUAUGAUUGAAAUUGAGGGAAGAGAAUGAGGGAAAGUUUGUUAGAGUGGUUAAAAUAGUUAGGGUUGCGUGAUUCAUGGCCCUUGAAUUAUGAUCCUGUGAGGGGUUUAAGAGUGGUUGGGAUUGAAUCUUCAAGUUAGUUAAAGAUUAUGUUAGUUCAAGGGAAAAAUCAGUGGAAAUUUGUGUUAGUUGGAAUGCACUUUGAAGUGAAUUUGUAGUGAAUUUAGUUUGUAAUUUCACUUGGUUUUUUUGUGAGUUUUGUGUUAGUUUUGAAGUUUGUUUUGACAAUUAGAGGUUAGUUAUGACUAGGGCAAUUUGGUUAGUUAGUUUUGGGUUUAACUAAUUUAAUUGGAAGUUAGAGGUUAGUUAGUUGUUUAGCUUAAAGUGUUGAGUUAGUUGGUGUUGAAAUGUCGAAGUAAAACUGUUUAGUAUCAUGAUACUCUUAUAGUUGUUGAUAGUCUUGGAUAUUAGUAGGGGAUUCAUGUUACAUUAAUGCAUCAACUGCUGAAGGAGCUGCAAGGUUUUCUGUCAUCACUAUAUGAUGAUGAUGAUGAUCUCCAUUAAUAAUAGAUUUGUUUCCUGCUGCAUGAGUUUGACUGCAUGCAUACGAUGGAGAUUUCAAAUUAGUAACCAAGUCUCCAUGGUUGCUAUAGAAACUAUUAUUGUUGAUCUGGUGACAGGGACCUCAAUUGCUCUAGUGUUGUAUUUAAUACUUGUUGCAACAAAAUAGACUCCACAUCAGAUGGAAGUUGUGAAGAUGGUUGGUCAGGUAGCCGCACUCCUGCUUUAGGAACUUCAGGUACAUUACAUGAUUUCAGAUACACUAAAAAGUUGUUUGAGACGACAUUCAACAUCUUUAAGAAUUGAGAUUUAUACCUUCUAAAUAGAGCAUAUCCAUCCACUUGCAAGAAUGAAGAACCUGAGAUCAAAUCAGAGUCUAACUUCAGAGUUUGUUGCACAGCUGAAUAUAAAUGCAAAAGUAAAUAGAGAGACACAAAAUAUAUCUUGGUUCCUCUCAAACUAAGAGUAGUCCAGUCCCCUUGCAACACAAGAUAUUUUCAUGAUAAUCACUCAGAUUACGAUUUGCUCAAUCAACCUAGAAAUAGACUUAUACUCAAGCCCUCAUGUAAGAUACUCCCUUGCCUGAACUAUCCGUUCAAGACUUCCUGCUCAAUCCCUCGGAAAGAGACUUAUGCUAUACCCUCAAGAAUGAGACUUCAAUGUAUGAACAACUAGUUUAGGUCUUCCUGCUCUCCCCGUAAGCCUGAGACUUCAUUGUUUAAUCAAUCUAGAAAGAGACUUAUUUGCUCAAGCACCCAACAAGAGACUUUUUGCUCAAUCUAACAAAAAGAGACUUAUUUUCUCAAGCAAUCAGUAAGAGAUUUCUUACAUAUUCUAAUUAGUAGUUUAGAAUAGUAAUUACAAAUGCACUUGAUGCUCUUAUCAGUGAUGCAUAGUUACAACACAUAUCCUAACGUCUUUAAGAUUUUUAAGAUUAACAAUGGUAAGAAAUAUUAAGACUAUAUCGUACAAGCUAACAUAUAUACAAAAGUGUUCUUGCUUGUAUCAGAUCCUCUUGUGUUGUAUGGUUCUGUUGAUAUCUUAUUCAAAGACUUUCAUAGUA